rnacentral:lncRNA from 1 species
UCUUCUGAUCCUUAUUUCUCUCAAUUGGGCUUCAUUUUUGGCUUCAUCAUUCCAACCAUCUCAAUAGAGGGUUUGACUCUGAAAUUCAAAAUCAGUGAUGGUGAAAGUGAAACUAUCAACGUGUACUUGGACAGACCAUAUCAAGGAAUUGAAUCAGAUCAUGUGUAUCUAAUGUAUGACCCGAGAUGUUCGCAUUACCUAGCUAGCCGAGUCAAUGAUCAGUCAAAGAUUACAAUUAAGGUUAGCGCAGCAUCAAGAACACUGACAUCAGAGUACAUGCCAGUGCAAUUAAGAGGGUUUGGGGUUAGCCUUGUAACCCCUUCAAAAUAUGACAAGUUUAAACAUCAAUUGGAAUUGGAUGAUGGUAGCGUUAUUCCAAAUAAUAUGUGUUCAGUUGAAGAAGGAUGAAAUUUUCCAGGAAUUCAAAAUGCUAAAUAGUUCAGUUAUUUCAAUUGCUUGUUUUAAUUUGUUAAGGUAAAUUUGAGCAUGAAAUCAGAGGGUUUAUGAGUGUUUAAUUAACUUGUUUUCAAUCCUUAGUGUUUUGUUUCAGAGUUUACAAAAAAAUUUAGAGAAGCCUGAUUAAGUAUACAUACAUUUGGAUAUAUAUAAUUACUGUGUGCUAGUGGUUCUGAAAAGAAAUUUAUACCCACCUCAAUGCUUCAACUUCAGCAGGAAAAUAUCUCCAUGGAGGUUAUGAAUACACUACAUUUAUGAAGUAAAAGGCUAUGAAAUUUGGAGGAAAAUUUAUUGACAAUGAAGAUUGGAAAAAGUUAUGCCUAAUAUCAAACAAUAUAGAAUACGAACCUUCAUUUUAAUUUUCAUGGAUUAUGAUUCCGAACUACUUAAGAUUCCGGAAUCCGAAUAAUCAACUAAUCAAUAUCUAUAAUAUGGCUAUCUAAUAUAUAUCCAAUGUAGAAAUAUACUAGUAAGAGAACAAAAAUCAAAAGCAGCAUUGAUUAAUUAAUGUAACGAACCUUUAAUUUUGAAGUUUGAACACAGCAGAAACUUCCAUAGAACUCUGUUCACCAUAAUCAACAUUCAUUUUCAACAACCCGUAAAUAGCAUGGAUUGGAAACCAGACGCCGCGCACGAACUCUUCAAUAGUAGAUUCCAUUUUAUCGCCAUGGAAAUGGUGCAAGUUCUCCCUUGUAGCACCUUUUUUGGUUGUUCAUUGGAUUGAUUCAAGAGUUUUACACUGUGUUUGGUUUUGAAGAAAGAGGGUGGAAGAGAAAUAAUUUCCACCGUUU